rnacentral:rRNA from 1 species
UUUUAUUAGAAAUUAUUAAUAAUAAAAUUGCUCAAUGAAAAUUAAAUAGCCGCAUUUGUGCUAAGGUAGCAAAAUCAUUUGUCUUUUAAUUAAAGACUAGAAUAAAAGAUUUAACAUUUAAAUAAAUUUCUUCAAUUAAUAAAUUUAAACUAUUUUUAAUGUAAAAAAACAUUAAUUUAUAAAAAAGACGAUAAGACCCUAUCGAACUUUACUUUAGUUUAACUGGGGCAGUUAAUUAAUUAUUAUUUUUAAAAAAAAAAUAAUUUUAAAAUGAUCUAAUAAAAUUAAUUCCAUGAGCAAGUUACCGUAGGGAUAACAGUGUAAUAUUAUUUUUAAGACCUUAUUUAAAAUAAUGAUUGCAACCUCGAUGUUGACUUAAUUUUCCUAAUAACGCAAUAGUUAUUAUCGAAAGUCUGUUCGACUAUUAAAUAAUUACAUGA